rnacentral:rRNA from 1 species
AUGGAAGCUGCUGUUCAACGAGGAGGGUUGCCUAAACGCAGCUGGAAUGAUCAUGAGAGUACAGCGUGGGGGUGUCCACCCAAAUAUCAAAGGGGAAGUAUAUAUGGGAGUUUUUUCUGGGUUGUUACGACCCUAAAAGCACUACUGAACAGAGGAACCAAUUGCGGCAACAGAGAAGCAUGCCUUUCUCCUCAAAAUCCUACAUGUACUUGCUCCUUGUCCAGGCAUCCGAUGUUAGGAAAGAGAAGAGAUGGUCUUCGUCAGUUGCACUUAAGCAUGGGAAGGAUGCAGGUGAAGCGUGGACAAGGACACCGACGUUGCCGAGGUUGUUAUAGCAACGACACUCGAGAACGCUCAAGGGAAGAGUAG